UUCUAUAGCCAUGCCACCCUGAACAAGCCCAAUCUUGUCUGAUCUUGGAAGCUAAGCAGGGUUGGGCCUGGUUAGUACUUGGAUGGGAGACCACCUAGGAAGACCAGUUGCUGUAGGCA
rnacentral:rRNA from 1 species